CCAAAUCCCCCUUCUCAUUAUUAUUAAAAGGUAACAUUAUUCCCUUCCCAAUAUUCACACCCUUCAUUCAAUCUCGACCAUCCAUAGCUACAAAAUAAGUUUUGAAUAAGAAGAAAAAGAUUAUCGUUCUGCCUCCGCAAACCAAAUUACUAAUCUAGGAGUUCUGUGUCUUCGGUGGUUCGCUUGCUGCCCCACUGGUAGUACUUGCGAUGAUACCUGCAACGAAAGGAGCCCAGAUGCGUCGUGGGAGAGCAGAUGCACCACGUCUUCUUCUCUUCGACCUUUGCCUCCGCUGUUGCCGGUUGAUUUUGCGCAGCAUCCUCAUGUUGUUGUUGCUGCCGCUCUACCACCGGCCACAGUUCCGGUGGAAGGACAGUUUUGUGAUUCAAAAGAAGACCUUCCGGACACAUCUUUCUUCCUGCCAAAGAGGCUUCCCACCAAAAAGAGAGAGGAAGGGACCACAAGAGGUUUCAGAAAGAGAAAGCAAGAAGGAGUAGAGAGAUUCUAAUAUCACAGAGAGAAAGUUCCACAAUGAGGAAGAGAGUUGAGAUAUUGUAAGAGGCGGCUUGAAUACUUUUUAGAGAGGAAGAGGAAGAGAUUUAUUAAUAGAGAGAGGGAGAGAGAGGACUGAAAAAGAUAAACAGGAAAAGGGAUCAUUCAUGAAUGAUGAUCAAAGGAAUGAAAGCAUAACAAUGGGAGUAAAAGAAUAACAAGGUUCGAAGGAAUAGAUUUAUAAUAGAUGAUAGAGUUCCAUGAAAAAGGGCAGAUUCGUUAAGAGGAAAAGGAGAGAAUAUGGAUGAAUUUUG
rnacentral:lncRNA from 1 species